AUGCACACGGUCACACAGGUGCUCACAGUCACACAGGCGCUCGCACAGUCACACAGGCGCUCGCACAGUCACACAGGCGCUCGCACAGUCACACGCUCACACAGUCACACACACAGUCACACAGGCGCUCACACAGUCACACAGGCGCUCACACAGUCACACAGGCGCUCACACAGUCACACAGGCGCUCACACAGUCACACAGGCGCUCACACAGUCACACAGGCGCUCACACAGUCACACAGGGGCGCACACUGUCACACAGUCACACAGGCGCUCACACAGUCACACAGGGGCGCACACAGUCACACAGUCACACAGGCGCUCGCACAGUCACACAGGCGCUCGCACAGUCACACAGGCGCUCACACAGUCACACAGGCGCUCACACAGUCACACAGGGGCUCACACAGUCACACAGGGGCUCGCACAGUCACACAGGCGCUCACACAGUCACACAGGCGCGUCACACAUCACACAGUCACACAGGCGCUCACACAGUCACACAGGCGCUCACACAGUCACACAGGCGCUCACACAGUCACACAGGCGCUCACACAGUCACACAGGCGCUCACACAGUCACACAGGCGCUCACACAGUCACACAGGCGCUCACACAGUCACACAGGCGCUCACACAGUCACACAGGCGCUCACACAGUCACACAGGCGCUCACACAGUCACACAGGCGCUCACACAGUCACACAGGCGCUCACACAGUCACACAGGCGCUCACACAGUCACACAGGCGCUCACACAGUCACACAGGCGCUCACACAGUCACACAGGCGCUCACACAGUCACACAGGCGCUCACACAGUCACACAGGCGCUCACACAGUCACACAGGCGCUCACACAGUCACACAGGCGCUCACACAGUCACACAGGCGCUCACACAGUCACACAGGCGCUCACACAGUCACACAGGCGCUCGCACAGUCACACAGGCGCUCACACAGUCACACAGGCGCUCACACAGUCACACAGGCGCUCACACAGUCACACAGGCGCUCACACAGUCACACACACAGUCACACAGGCGCUCACACAGUCACACAGGCGCUCACACAGUCACACAGGCGCUCACACAGUCACACAGGCGCUCACACAGUCACACAGGCGCUCACACAGUCACACAGGCGCUCACACAGUCACACAGGCGCUCACACAGUCACACAGGCGCUCGCACAGUCACACAGGCGCUCACACAGUCACACAGGCGCACACACAGUCACACAGGCGCUCACACAGUCACACAGGCGCUCACACAGUCACACAGGCGCUCACAGUCACACACGAGAGCGCACACAGUCACACAGGCGCUCGCACAGUCACACAGGCGCUCACACAGUCACACAGGCGCGCACACAGUCACACAGGCGCUCACAGUCACACAGGCGCUCACACAGUCACACAGGCGCUCACACAGUCACACAGGCGCUCACACAGUCACACAGGCGCUCACACAGUCACACAGGCGCUCACACAGUCACACAGGCGCUCACACAGUCACACAGGCGCUCGCAGUCACACAGGCGCUCGCACAGUCACACAGGCGCUCACACAGUCACACAGUCACACAGGCGCUCACACAGUCACACGCUCACACAGUCACACACACAGUCACACAGGCGCUCACACAGUCACACAGGCGCUCACACAGUCACACAGGCGCUCACACAGUCACACAGGCGCUCACACAGUCACACAGGCGCUCACACAGUCACACAGGCGCUCACACAGUCACACAGGCGCUCACACAGUCACACAGGCGCUCACACAGUCACACAGGCGCUCACACUCACACAGUCACACGGGCGCUCACACAGUCACACGGGCGCUCACACAGUCACACAGGCGCUCGC
rnacentral:lncRNA from 1 species